rnacentral:rRNA from 1 species
ACUCCUACGGGAGGCAGCAGUGGGGAAUAUUGCACAAUGGGCGCAAGCCUGAUGCAGCCAUGCCGCGUGUGUGAAGAAGGCCCUUCGGGUUGUAAAGCACUUUCAGUCGUGAGGAAGGUAGUGUAGUUAAUAGCUGCAUUAUUUGACGUUAGCGACAGAAGAAGCACCGGCUAACUCCGUGCCAGCAGCCGCGGUAAUACGGAGGGUGCGAGCGUUAAUCGGAAUUACUGGGCGUAAAGCGCAUGCAGGUGGUUUGUUAAGUCAGAUGUGAAAGCCCGGGGCUCAACCUCGGAAUUGCAUUUGAAACUGGCAGACUAGAGUACUGUAGAGGGGGGUAGAAUUUCAGGUGUAGCGGUGAAAUGCGUAGAGAUCUGAAGGAAUACCGGUGGCGAAGGCGGCCCCCUGGACAGAUACUGACACUCAGAUGC